rnacentral:rRNA from 1 species
GACGGGACCCCGCACAAGCGGUGGAUCAUGUUGUUUAAUUCGAUGAUACGCGAAGAGCCUUACCAGGUCUUGACAUCCCCCGCGAUGCUUUAGAGAUAAAGCGGAGGUAUUCGGGGAGACAGGUGCUGCAUGGCUGUCGUCAGCUCGUGUCGUGAGAUGUUGGGUUAAGUCCCGCAACGAGCGCAACCCUUGCCUUUAGUUGCCAGCAGUUCGGCUGGGCACUCUAAAGGGACUGCCGGUGUUAAACCGGAGGAAGGUGGGGAUGACGUCAAGUCCUCAUGGCCUUUAUGACCAGGGCUACACACGUACUACAAUGGCCGAUACAAAGGGCAGCGACACUGCGAGGUGAAGCCAAUCCCGUAAAAUCGGUCUCAGUCCGGAUUGGAGUCUGCAACUCGACUCCAUGAAGUUGGAAUCGCUAGUAAUCGUGGAUCAGCAUGCCACGGUGAAUACGUUCCCGGGCCUU